UGCCUUAGUAACGGCGAGUGAAGCGGCAACAGCUCAAAUUUGAAAUCUGGCGUCUUUGGCGUCCGAGUUGUAAUUUGCAGAGGGCGCUUUGGCAUUGGCAGCGGUCCAAGUUCCUUGGAACAGGACGUCACAGAGGGUGAGAAUCCCGUACGUGGUCGCUAGCCUUUACCGUGUAAAGCCCCUUCGACGAGUCGAGUUGUUUGGGAAUGCAGCUCUAAAUGGGAGGUAAAUUUCUUCUAAAGCUAAAUACUGGCCAGAGACCGAUAGCGCACAAGUAGAGUGAUCGAAAGAUGAAAAGCACUUUGGAAAGAGAGUUAAAAAGCACGUGAAAUUGUUGAAAGGGAAGCGCUUGCAGCCAGACUUGCCUGUAGUUGCUCAUCUAGGUUUCUACCUAGUGCACUCUUCUAUAGGCAGGCCAGCAUCAGUUUGGGCGGUUGGAUAAAGGUCUCUGUCAUGUACCUCUCUUCGGGGAGAACUUAUAGGGGAGACGACAUGCAACCAGCCUGGACUGAGGUCCGCGCAUCUGCUAGGAUGCUGGCGUAAUGGCUGUAAGCGGCCCGUCUUGAAACACGGACCAAGGAGUCUAACAUCUAUGCGAGUGUUUGGGUGUCAAGCCCGAGCGCGUAAUGAAAGUGAACGGAGGUGGGAACCUUUCGGGGUGCACCAUCGACCGAUCCUGAUGUCUUCGGAUGGAUUUGAGUAAGAGCAUAGCUGUUGGGACCCGAAAGAUGGUGAACUAUGCUUGAAUAGGGUGAAGCCAGAGGAAACUCUGGUGGAGGCUCGCAGCGGUUCUGACGUGCAAAUCGAUCGUCAAAUUUGGGCAUAGGGGCGAAAGACUAAUCGAACUAUCUAGUAGCUGGUUCCUGCCGAAGUUUCCCUCAGGAUAGCAGUAACGUUUUCAGUUUUAUGAGGUAAAGCGAAUGAUUAGAGGCCUGGGGGUUGAAACAAC
rnacentral:rRNA from 1 species